rnacentral:rRNA from 1 species
GACAGAGGGUGCAAACGUUGUUCGGAAUUACUGGGCAUAAAGCGCACGUAGGUGGUCCGCUAAGUCGCGUGUGAAAUCCCUCGGCUCAACCGAGGAAUUGCGGGCGAUACUGGCGGGCUAGAGAUCGGGAGGGGUGAGUGGAACUCCAGGUGGAGCGGUGAAAUGCGUAGAUAUCUGGAGGAACACCGGUGGCGAAAGCGACUCACUGGCCCGACACUGACACUGAGAGACGAAAGCUAGGGGAGCGAAUGGG